rnacentral:rRNA from 1 species
AACGAACGCUGGCGGCAGACUUAACACAUGCAAGUCGAGCGCCCCGCAAGGGGAGCGGCAGACGGGUGAGUAACGCGUGGGAAUCUACCCAUCUCUACGGAAUAACGCAUGGAAACGUGUGCUAAUACCGUAUACGUCCUUCGGGAGAAAGAUUUAUCGGAGAUGGAUGAGCCCGCGUUGGAUUAGCUAGUUGGUGGGGUAAAGGCCUACCAAGGCGACGAUCCAUAGCUGGUCUGAGAGGAUGAUCAGCCACACUGGGACUGAGACACGGCCCAGACUCCUACGGGAGGCAGCAGUGGGGAAUAUUGGACAAUGGGCGCAAGCCUGAUCCAGCCAUGCCGCGUGAGUGAUGAAGGCCCUAGGGUUGUAAAGCUCUUUCACCGGUGAAGAUAAUGACGGUAACCGGAGAAGAAGCCCCGGCUAACUUCGUGCCAGCCGCCGCCGUAA